rnacentral:rRNA from 1 species
GACGAACGCUGGCGGCGUGCCUAAUACAUGCAAGUCGAACGCAGUGGGGACGGGUGAGUAACCCGUGGGUAACCUCCCAUCAGAGGGGAUAAAACUUGGAAACAGGUGCUAAACCGAUACUGAUGGAUGGACCCGGGGUGCAUUAGCUAGGUGGUGAGGUAACGGCUCACCAAGGCCACGAUGCAUCGCGGACCUGGGAGGGUGCUCGGCCCCACUGGGACUGAGACACGGCCCAGACUCCUACGGGAGGCAGCAGUAGGGAAUCUUCGGCAAGGGACGAAGGUCUGACCGAGCAACGCCGCGUGAGUGAAGAGGGUUUUCGGAUCGUAAAUCUCUGUUGUUAGAGAAGCGGUAUCUAACCAGAAAGCCAGGGCUAACUACGUGCAAGCCGCCGCGUAAUAC